GCGGCAGCUCGGUAGAACAGGGCAGCCGGUGUGGCAGAGAGCCCAGAGUGGGAGGGAGGCUGCUUCUGGGUCACCUCCCCUGGGCUGGUGCCCUCUGCCAAGGGGCUCUGGCAGAACCACUCCAAGGGGCAUUUAGAAGGAUGGACGCUCUCCCCCAGACCCCCAACUACUGGGCCAGCAGGAAGCAGAGAGGUUCAGCUGUAGCCCGCAGACCUUGGAGUCUUGGCUGAGGACUGCUCUGAGGGGGCACAGAACAGGGCAGCCCCUGGGCCCCAGGCAGCAGCGCCUAGAGGCCUGGGCGGCAGGAAAGGGAAAGGUGACGUCAUUGCCGCCUGGAAUCUGCUGUUUGGAGGCGUCGCCAUGGAGACCGGAAGGCUCAGGGAUGUCAAGGACCAGAGGUUGCCCAAGGAUACUGCUGCAAGUGGGAGGAUGCAGGAGCUGGGCUUGUGCUGACUGAGGUGGUCAGCAGCUGUAGGACUAUCGCUGCCGCAGCACGUUGAGCUCACCCUCUAACUCCCACAUAUCACAAGUACAGUAUAACCCACAGGUGUGACCCUAUGACAAGCCUUCUGUUCUCGCUUCCUGUGUGUUAAAGGCAGGCCAGGACUUCCUGUGGAUGCUGGGACCCAUAGAAUGACUAUCCAAGGGGAUGCAGGCAUAUACCUAAGACCACUCAGAACAAGUGACCCUGUUCAGGCCAUGUGCCUGACCCUCCAGAAAUUCCCACUGUGGGGGAAGUUCCUCCCACCUAGAAUGGUCUAGAAAGAAACAACAGAGAAGAUCAACAAAACCAAAAGCAUCUUUUUUAGGAAAGUAAGAAAUCCAGGUUUACACAAAGAAGAAAAUUUAAAAUACCUAUGGCUCCUGCAAAACACACUUUCUUGGUUUUUUUGUAUGUAAAAUAAAAGCUGUAGCAUUUCUAA